rnacentral:lncRNA from 1 species
GCCUGCCUGAGUGUGAGAAAAACAGCAGUCUCAGAGGGGGGAGAAUUAUCAUGGGGCAGAAUGCAGAAGUGCCUGCGAAGGUCUGCAGGGCAGAGUUCAGAAGAGAGCUUGCCAAAGGAGCCUUCUCUGAAGAUUUACUGCCGCAGCCACAGCUGACAGAGAAGAGGAUCAGGAGGAAAGAAGUUCUGUCCUGACUAGCUUCACAGGAAGUCUGCAGGCUGCAGGGCUGGGAGUCUCUGACAGGCCAAGGAGCAGGAGCGCUCUCAGCCUGCAGCUUGGGGAGAGAGGACUUCCAGUUUGUUUUUAAAGAGACCCCCUUCCAAGCAGCAUUUGUGAUGACUCGGCACAGAUGUCUCCAAGCAGAGAAACUACUCUCCAGGCAAGAUGUUCCCGGUCUGUCCAGACCCAUCCAUCCCCACGGGCACCACGCCUCCCCCGCCCCCAACAAGCUCAGAAAAGCAAAAGAAAGACAGAUUCUGCCUUCCGGUCCCUGCCAGCAC